GUAACCUAUCAUUAUGAAUUUAAAAAAUAGAAGUUGUGAAAAAAAAACGCUGUCCAAAAUUUCGCUUUUCGAUCGAUCCAUAAUAGAAGUUUUUUUUUUAAAACAUGAUGAUGACAUUCACAACGUUAAAAAAUUAUUAUUUUUAUCUCAUAAAGAUAAAAGUAAAUUAUGCCUGCUCCACUUUUACCUACUUUCGAGAGACCUUAAUUUUUCAGUCGUACAAAACAAAAUUUGACAGAAGGGCGCUACACGGGUUAAAAUUCACAUUUUUGUCCUUUGACGUUUCAAAAUCUUUUGAUUAAAUUUCCGAACGAAACAUCCUAUCACUCUCUAAUCUAUGGUCCCUACACCCCCCCCUCUUGCCAAACUGUCAAACAAAAGUUUGUUUUGAUUUGGUUGGUGUUGUUUUGUUCGAAUGAAAUUAAUAAGAAUAGUUACUUACAUACAUAUCUCAAAGAAAUAAUCUAUAGCUGAAACAAGUGAUCUUAAAAAUAAUAGUAACAGAAGCCUUGUACAAUAUUGCAACAAUAUCUGAGUUUUCAAUGUGAUACUGUUACGUUAAGUCUAUGCAUAUUUUGCCUGUGUAAAAUAAAGAGAAUCACCAUUCUCUUCUCAUUGCAGCGUAAGAUGUUAAAGUGAUCAAUAAUGAUGUACAACUUGUCCCGGAAAACCAAUAUUUAAUGAAAAUUAAUAAAAUCUUAACAAACCAAAGUAAACUGUUCAUAAUUCCAAAAUAUUUAAUUGAACAUAAAUUGAUUAUUAUCUUUAAAUAAGCCUUCUUAAUAAAUGAGUGUUUUAAAAUU